rnacentral:tRNA from 1 species
GUAUCAGUGGCUUAGGGGUUAAGCGCUUGAUUUGUAAUCUGCAGGUCUUGGGUUCGAAUCCCGCCAUGUACC